UUGAGAACUGAGAACUACUUUUGCUUUAUUCAAGUUCAAGUAAAUCCAAAAGCAACAUUGUUUUCGCUUUUACAUCGACCUAGUAAUAUAGUAACGACUUAUUCAAUACUUAUAUAAAAGAAAGAACAUAAAUAAUUAAUUUAAUGUAAUUAACUGAAAAAAAAAAAAAAAGGAAUCCAAGACAAACUUCAAGAUAUUAUCAUGAAAUUUCACCCGUAGAAUUGUCUGAUAGCGAUUAUUUUCCAAAGGUAAGAUCAUAAAAUGUCCAUUAGGGACAUUUCGAGUAAUUGGUCAUGCCAGGGCUAGGCAUAGAAAGCUUGAUUCCUUCGAAAGAGAAAGAAUCCAUUGAUAUAUGUCCCUCGCCCCUCGAACUUGGUCCUCCUGUUUUAAUUGCUACAGCAUAUGAUCUUCCCAGAAUUUUUUCGAUCACAUUUUUCAUGAUCUGAUUAUCAACAUCAUUAAGAAGACGAGCUUCGCUAUUAAAUAAAAAUAAAGAGCUCAGAAAGAAAAGAAUUGCGAUUAAAAUGGUGAAAAAAUUGAGACCGCUUGCCAUUGUUGAUGACGACUAAUAGAGUUCAAU
rnacentral:lncRNA from 1 species